GACUAUUCAGUGGUAGAAUGCUCGCCUGCCACGCGUGUGGCCCGGGUUCGAUUCCCGGCUGAUGCA
rnacentral:tRNA from 1 species